AAGUCCCAGGCUAGGCUUGGACUCCGAGCAGAGAUACAAACUGCUGGAGUAAUUCAGCGGGUCAGGCAGCCUGUGGUGAGGCAAAUACAAUCGACGUUUUGGGUUGAAACCUUCACCCUAAUUUUGUGAAAGAUUAAUCAACCAUGUGAAAUUCAGGAUUAGGAAGACCAUGGCUUGUUUCAGAAUGUCAGACAUGCCUGGAAAGAAACGAAGAUGUUCAAAUGAUGGGAGAAGUGGCAGAGAUUUUCAAGAGUGAUGCAGUGAGAGAUGAUUAACAUAACUGAAACAGGAAUCCUUUUACUCAUUUGGAGAAUGAAAUACAAGAAAGAGGCAAAGAGCCAACUAAAUGCCAUUCAGAUCUAACAUGGCAGUGGCGCUGGAGAUGACCAGAAGGUCAAACUGCAUAACCAUCAGAGAUGAGGACUUCAUACUACUUGGAUGGAAUUCAACAUUGCCUGCAACAUUCAAUCAUAUGAUCAUAGUCAGCAUUAAAAAUA